rnacentral:rRNA from 1 species
UAGGGAAUCUUCCGCAAUGGGCGAAAGCCUGACGGAGCAACGCCGCGUGAGUGAUGAAGGUCUUCGGAUCGUAAAACUCUGUUAUUAGGGAAGAACAAAUGUGUAAGUAACUAUGCACGUCUUGACGGUACCUAAUCAGAAAGCCACGGCUAACUACGUGCCAGCAGCCGCGGUAAUACGUAGGUGGCAAGCGUUAUCCGGAAUUAUUGGGCGUAAAGCGCGCGUAGGCGGUUUUUUAAGUCUGAUGUGAAAGCCCCCGGCUCAAACGUGGAGGGUCAUUGGAAACUGGAAAACUUGAGUGCAGAAGAGGAAAGUGGAAUUCCAUGUGUAGCGGUGAAAUGCGCAGAGAUAUGGAGGAACACCAGUGGCGAAGGCGACUUUCUGGUCUGUAACUGACGCUGAUGUGCGAAAGCGUGGGGAUCAAACAGG